CUACACUAUCUCGACCUUCAGGGAUGGUAUUAUGAUGAUUUUCUACAUGUUGAUGAUCUCGAUUGGCUCUCCCGUAUUCCUUCUCUAAAAUAUCUUGACAUGAGUUAUGUCAACCUCUCCAAAGCAACCAAUUGGUUCUACAUAAUUAAUUCAAUCCCCACACUUGAAGUGCUACAUUUGAUUUAUGUAGACCUGCCAUAUGUUCCAUCUCCUUUGCCCCCUUUUAAUCUGACAGACAUUGCUACGUUGGAUCUGUCUUUGAAUUCUAACAUCACGUCUGCCAUGCUAAGAUGGCUUUCUAACGCCACCAGCCUCGAGAACCUCCUUCUUUCUGGCUGUGGGAGUCUCACUAUCGAGUCGGUACAAGUUGCUCUAGGAGCUCUCCUUAAUCUGAAGGAAUUGGAUUUGUCAUUCAACUCCCUUAAAGGAGAAAUUCUUGAAAUUCUGAACAAUGUCAGUAGCAGUGGCCUGAAGCACUUGGAUUUGAGAUGGAAUCAAUUAUCUGGAGAUAUUCCUCGAGGGAGCCUUAGAGACCUGGAGUACCUAGACUUAUCAACGAAUUUAAUUGUCGACGUGCAUAUCUUAGCUUCUCUGGGGAAUCUCACAAACUUGCGACAUUUAGACUUGGGGUACAAUUUGAUCAGCGGAGAAAUUCCACCGACCGUGGGAGAUGCUGUCCGAUUGGAGUACCUAUAUUUGUCCUAUAAUGGCAUCAUUGGAAAAAUACCACAGAGCAUGGGGAACCUCAGUAACCUAUUGGAAUUACAUUUAUCAGGCAACAAAAUUGUGGGAUGGAUACCACCGAGCAUCGGCAACCUCAGUAACCUAUUGGAAUUACAUUUAUCAGGCAACAAAAUUGUGGGAUGGAUACCACCGAGCAUCGGCAACCUCACCAACUUGGUAUACUUAGAUUUAUCGAGGAAUAAUAUUGUCGGUUGGAUACCACCGAGCAUCGUCAACCUCACCAACUUGGUACACUUAGAUUUAUCAAUGAAUAAUAUUAGCGGAUACAUUCCAGAGACUUUGGGUACUCUCAUCCAUAUGGAGGAAUUAUAUUUGUUUAACAAUCGUAUUUCUGGACAAAUACCAGAAACCAUUGGGGAUCUUCAAAAUCUACGGAUAUUAUUUUUAAGCAAUAACCAUAUUUUUGGGCAGAUACCAAAGAAGAUCGGUAAACUCCACUACUUGCAAAACUUGGACAUGUCAUAUAACAACUUAUCAGGUCAGAUACCAACUACGUUGGGUGACCUAUGCAAUUUGACCGUGUUAGAUUUGUCUCACAAUAACAUUGGUGGAGACCUUACAAAUCUAUUCUAUGGUUUGUCUACUUGUUCACAAGGAGCAUUUUUAUCAUCCUUAGUCCUGAAGGGUAACAAUUUGAGUGGGAUUAUUCCUUCGAGCAUGGGCCAAUUAUCUCGGCUACAAGAGGUAGACCUCUCCUCAAACUCGCUGGCUGGCAACAUUACCGAAGCACACUUUUUAAAUCUUACGAGCUUAUCAAAAUUGAUAAUCGCUUCCAACUCCUUGAAUGUGAUGCUACCGAAUGAUUGGCGGCCCCCUUUUAAUGCCUCCAUUAUCGAUAUGAGCUUUUGUCAUCUACGAGGAAAAUUUCCUGCUUGGAUUCGGACUCAACAACAAUUGCAAAGUCUUUAUCUAUCUGGAGUUGGAGUCUCAGGCAGCCUCCCUAUUUGGUUUUCAAAUUUCUCAAAAGGUUUGAAAAUUCUUUACUUGAGCUCCAACUAUUUGACUGGUCAAUUACCUUCUCCUCCCCAAUUGAUAUUGAUAUUGGAUCUUUCCAACAACUCAUUUGUUGGACCUAUUCCAUUGAGCUUCGAAGAAGCUACGUACCUCCUUUUUUUAUCUUUGUCUCAUAAUCAUAUGAAUGGUGAUUUUCCUCCCUUCUUUUGUAAUCUGAAUUUCCUUAUGAUUCUCGACCUAUCUAACAAUCACUUAAUUGGAAAAGUCCCCGAUUGUCAUAAUUCAUUUCCAAUCUCUCUACGAUCUUUACAUUUAAAUAAUAACAAUUUAUCUGGAAGGAUUCCUUCAUUUUUGAAAUACUGUAACCAAUUAAUUAACCUUGAUUUAGGUGAAAAUAAAUUAUUUGGUAAAAUUCCGAAAUGGAUAGGAAGAAACCUCUCGUCAUUGAAGGUUCUUAGUCUGAGGUCAAACUUAUUAAAUCGUGUUAUCCCUGAGAACAUAGUGAAUCUCACUUCUCUUCAGGUUUUGGAUCUUUCUUCCAACAAUUUAUUUGGUAGCCUACCAUCAUCUCUAGGAAAUUUCACUGCCAUGGUUGAGGUACAAAAUGACACGAGGUCAUUGAUUGAAGAUUACUAUUCUUACAUCGAGAGCAUCUUAUUCACAACAAAGGAAUUAAUAGUUGAAGAACACUGUUCUUAUAGCGAGAGCAUCUUGCUAACUACAAAAGGGGAAAUUGCUGAUUACACAACCAUUCUCUCGCUCGUGACAUUCAUAGACUUGUCAAAUAAUCAGCUCUCUGGUGAAAUCCCGAAAGACCUGACAAAGCUUCUCGGACUGCGCUUCCUAAACUUAUCCAACAAUCAUUUGACGAGGAGGAUUCCAGAAAACAUUGGUGACAUGAAAACAUUGGAAUCGCUUGACUUAUCUGUGAACAGUCUGAUAGGGGAGAUACCUUCGAGCUUUUCUGCUAUGCAUUUCCUGGAACGUUUGAAUCUGUCUUACAACAACUUAUCAGGAAAAAUACCCACGAGUGGUCAAUUGUCGACCUUUGACCCUUCGACAUAUGUGGGUAAUAAAGGCCUUUGCGGUAUGCCACUGCCAGCUUGCCCUGUUUAUCAAACUCCACCCGAUGCCAGAGUUAAAGAUGAUGAGAAGCUCGACAAAUUAUUGGAGUACACCAGUAUUGUGGUUGGAUUUGUGGUUGGCUUCUGGCUGUUUAUUGGCACUCUCAUCAUGAAGCAGGCCAUCAGAUUCGCUUUCUUCCGACGGAUCGACAAGACCAUUGACUGGAUCUAUGUUCAGUUUGCAGUUAAGCUUGCGAAGCUCAAAUCCAAAUGGCAAACAACGACAUGAACUGCCGGUAAGUGCUAAAGUGUGUCAUGUUUUCCUUUGUAGUUAGUCGCAUCGAAAUCUUGCGUUAGCAUGUAAUGAUGUUAUCAUAUUAUGCUGUCAUGAUUAAGCUGAAAUAAGCAUCAUGGAUUCCCUGUAUACAUUACAUGCAUUAGUUCUAGUAUCAUAACAUCUCCAUCUAUCAUCACUUUGCUAUCGCAAGGCCUUCGCUUAUGGAUUGAUACAUACAUAUCUGACAACUAAAAAGAUUAAUUGCAAGAGUGUAUGUCAUACAUACUCUGUUUGCUAACGAAAUAGUUAAUCUACCUAUAUUUAAUCGAUGUUUGAGAGGGAAGAUUGUGUUCUUCUGUUAGUGUCCUUACGAUAGAAAAAAAAAUUCAACUUUGUUAUUAUGCUCAAAUUAGAUAAAGAUAAUGACAAUCACAGUAUGGAGAGACAAUUAGACAAUAAAAUUGUAACCAUUAUUGUGGACAUGCUCUUAGCGUUUGGCUGAAAUCAAUGUCUUAUUCGAGUGGCGAAUCUUUUUUUUCUGAGAAGAGACUGUAUAAUUUGAUUCUUCUCCACAUUCAUAUGGUAUGAGACUCACUCUUCAUUUUCUACCAAAGUACAUAUUUUUUUUCUGCAAAAAUAAAAUCCACGUCCAACGAAUUAUUUUUUUCUAAAAGUGAAUUAUUAUUAAUAAAUAAGUUUUAUAAAUUCAUAGCAAUCCCACUCUAGACUGCUUAUUCCUAUCAUUUGGGUGCUAAAUCUUGAGACCUUUUGAAUAUAUAAUUGUCUUAAGAGAGAUAUUUUAUGUUUCUUGAUUGAGUUUUUUUCGUUAAUCAACAUUUUAUGUUAUAUGCGUUUGUUUCAAUAUUCAUAACAUGAGAGCAUAUAUAUAUAUUUUUUGUUCCUUUUUCCUGGAAAUCAUAUUUUGCAGGACUGGCAGAACUUUGAUUUAGGUGUUACCAGAAUGCUUUAUAUAACUUCCCGAUUUGCUGCUAUUUUGGGGUUUAUAAUAAAAAGCAGAUUGCCACCAGUUCAGCUGAUGCAGGAGUCAAACUAGAAGAAGAUGACAAUGGAGAUAUGCUUGAAACAAUAAUAUUAGAUGUUACUAGCGUUGUCGUGGGAUUAAUAGUUGUUUCUGGGGUUUCUAUCGGCGUAGUGAUCGUGAAGCAAGGCUCAAGGAUUACUCUCUUCCAACAAAAUGACAACAUCUAUGGCUGCAUGCAGAUAUGUGCAGCUGAAAGCUGAAGCCCAAAAUAAUGACGAAGAAUCAAUUGAACUGUGGCUAAGUGCUAAGACUGUCUAUGUAGACUUCAUGUAUUUAUGUUCUAGUGUUUUAUUUCAUGAAUGACCAUUUGGUGUUGUCCAGAAAUAAGGUUGUUGUUUAAAUAUAACAUCUGAGACAUGGCAUCAGGAUUGCUCUGUUCCAGUUGAUCGGCAGGACUUGUGAUUGGAUCUAUGUGCAGGUGGCAGUAAAGCUUAAGGAACCGAAGUGCAAAUGGCGAAGAAUGACUUGAAGAAUCACCAAGCAUCUCAAGCUCAUGUCAUCCUCUUCAUGUUAUGAUGUAUUUAUGUUUCUUGUAAUUGUUGUAGUCUCUUUAGAGUCUUAAAUCUAUUGGCAACUUGCUGCUGCUUUUUAGUGUAGUGAAACUUAAUUUACUGCAUCACUUAUUGCUUCUUUUCCAGAAACAAACCAAUGGUCCACAGGAGGGCAAAUGAGUUGUCAUAACAUACGCAACAUAUUACUAUGAAUUGAGAAUUGCUCCAGUGGAAGCAUCAUAACUCCAUCCUACAUAUACAUGAAAUUGAUUUCAGUGAGUGCUUCAGGGGAUUCCAGCUGAGAACAAAGUGUGAUUAUGUUCAAUAUAUCUCAAUCAGGGGAAGACUUGCUCAUGCUUUCAUAAUGGAUUUAACCAUUCAAAGUGUUUUCUAUGGCCUUGGAAGUUGCUGUUCUGUUGUCAGAUCUCUUCAAUCUCUCAAACUCUCAACUAUUCAAAUCAUGCCUUAGUUUGAUGAACCAAAUGGAUUAAUCAAAAGAAUGAUUCUGGAUUAAUCAAAAGAAUUAAUCAAACCAAGCUUUCUCUUUAUAUGCUACUUCAAUCUCUCUGUGACCAAGCUUUCUCAGUGGAGAAAUUCCAAUAAUUUGGUUCAUUUAGAUAUAUCAAGUAACUUUAUUACCGGACAAUUACCACCACCGGGGAACCUCAUCAACUUAGAAUACUUAGAUUUAUCAUCCAACAAUAUCGUCGGAAGUAUUCCACAUACUUUGGGUUCUCUCAUCCAUCUCAAUAUAUUAAUCUUACUUCAAAAUGAUAUUUCUUGACGUAUACUAGAAACCAUUACAUUUCAAGAUCUUAAGUUAUACAACUUAGACGAAUACAAGAGACAAUUGGUAGACUCUAUCACUCGAAAAUUUUGAACAUAUCAUACAAUAACUUAUAGAUACCAAUGAUAUUAGGUAAUUUGACCAUGCGACUCUUUCUUUAAAUUAUUCUUAAUUUUUUAGGAAUUCUUUUUUACCCGAAACAUGGUUAUUUUUUUCAAAAUAAAUUUGUGUCCAACCAAGGAAACUUGUCCAAAACAUUUGAUGAGAGUAUAAACUUCUUAUGCCUAUCAAUCGGGUGCUAAAAGAUUGAAAAUUGGAUAACCAUCUCAAGAAAUAUUUUCUUUGGUAAUCAGAAUUCCUGCUUGAGUGGUUUUGGUCAACCAACGUUAAUUGCUUCAACAUAUUUACUGACCACAGCAAAAAAUGAUUAUGUGGAAUAUUUUUCCUUGACUGCCACAAAAUAAGUUUGGGAACGGACUCAAAAUUGGGUCGGAUUCGGGCUCGAAUCGAAUCGACUCGGGAUGUUGACCGAAGUCAACUUCUCACCGGCCCCACCUGCGUUCCUCGCCGCAGCCGUUCCCAUCGCCUGCGUUCACACAGUGCACCGCCGCACGCGGGGGCGUUUCACGCUCGCAGUCCUCCCCGCGGCCGCAGCCCGCUGUCUUCAUCGACGCCUCCCCGUGUGCCCGCACCGGCCCCCCCCAGCCACAGUCGCCGAAGUCGUCCAACGCAGCCGCAGUCGCACCUCUCCGCUCGCAGGCGGCGAGCCCUCCACCUUCCCUUGCUCCUAUAAAUAGAGCUUUGGGGAACAACAGCGAGGGAAGCGAAGGAGAGAACAACGAGAGAGAGGAAGAGAGGAGAAGUGAGUAAGGAGCCCAAAUCCGACCAAUGUUCUUCUCCGGCGAGAAGUCCAGUCGCCGAUCUCCGUCGCCGGCCAGUCACUGUGCUCAUUGCAGCACCAUUGAGGAAGAGAGGAGAAGAGGAAGAAGAGGAAUUUGACUGGUCAACCCUGGUCAACAUUGAUGAACAGAGGUAAUUUUGUAAUUUUGGUUUAUAUGGUAAAUUUUAGAUUUUUUUAUAAAGAAAGUGAAUGUUGCAACACUCCUAUUAAUCCUUUCAAUAUAUGGUAUUUGAGCCUUUUUACUAGAUUAUCAAGUUACCGGGCUUCAUCGAUAGACAUAAGAAACAAGAUCAAAAAAGUGGAUCGAAACAUCAACUACUCUCUAUAAACGAUAAAGAUGAAGACUAUCUGAAUAAAGGAGAAACAUCAUUACACUAUCUUCGGGAAAGAAAAAAUAACAAACAUGAAUGAGAAAAAGUAGAAUUUGAUCAAAGUGUUAUGACAAUUUUAUUUAUGUGCAUAUCCAAUGAAGCACUUUACGAUAUUGCCAUAAAACAAACAACAGUAAAAGUUUGAGACACAAAGCAUAUUAGUAGAAGACCCUUACAAGAAAAAUGACCCUCAAGUAUAUGUUGUACCGAAUGACAAAAGGAACCUUAGUGAAUCAAUACAUUAGUGUCUUUCAAACUAAAAUUCAUGGAUCUUGAGAAUAUGAAUGUUGUCAUCGACGAAGAAGACAAAGCCAUGUUAUUAUUAUUUUUAUAUAAAAACUUUUUGAAAAUAAUUUUAUAUUGAAAGAAUACCAUUUCUCUAGAUAUUAUGAUUUUAACCCUAGUGUCAAAAGAAUACCAUCUCUUUUAUAGACUUCUAGUUGACAAUGGAAACCUCCAAAAGUCAUGCUGAAGCUUUAAACUUCAUGGAGAGAUGUAGAGUUUAGGAAAGGAGACAGAAAUAAAUCUAUAGCCAAAUCUAGAUCAAAGUAAGUAUUAUUGCAAAAGGAAGGGCCACAUCAAAGCAGACUGUUGAGCUUAAAAUAAAAUGCAACAAUCAAAAUGCUAAAGCCUCAUGCAUAAACAAAGAGAUUGAGAUUGAGGUACUUAUGGCCUCCAUAUGCCACCAGGCCACAGGAUGGGUGGCUUUUGGACUCCAUAUGUUCCUUUCAUAUGAUACAACAUGGAUGUUAGUUCUCCACUUAUGAACUCACCCAAGAAGAAAAAGAUGCGCUUAUGGGAAGAACUCAUCGUGUUAGAUCAUCCAAACAGGACAAGUUAAAAUCAAGACACGACAUGAUUAUAAGAUCCUUGGUAAAGGUAUAGCACAUUCGUGAGUUAAAGAGAAACUUAACUUUAUUAUCCACUUUGGAUGCCUUAGGCUAUGACUAGUCUGACCAAUGAGCCCAAAUCGAACAAAAGUUCUUCGACAAAACAUUUUUUCAUCGAUCUUUGUCGUCGGUCCAUCGCUUAAUCUCAUUGCAACAGUUGUAAAGUAGAGAAAGUUGAUCGGUGAACUUUGGUUAUUGUUCUAACUCUCACAUCUUUAUCGUGAGUUGAUUAUUAUUUAACAGUUAAAUUGUUCACACCUAAAUCCCCAACACCCAAAUCUCUCGUAUUAAUCAAUCAACUCUCGAUAGCAUCAGAUUUAUGUCUCCUUCACAUAGGUUUGCAUCCGACUUGAGUCUCAGGCAGCCUCCCUAUUUGGUUUUCAAAUUUCUCAAAAGGUUUGAAAAUUAUUAACUUGAGCUCCAACUAUUUGAUUGGUCAAUUACCUUCUGCUCCCCAAUUCAUAUUGAAUCUAUCCAACAACUUAUUUGUUGGACCUAUUCCAUUGAGCUUGAAAAAAGCUACGAGACUCAUUUUGUUAUUUUUGUCUCAUAAUCAUAUCAACGGUGAUUUUCCUUUCUUCUUUUGUCAUAUGGAUUCACUUGGAGUUCUAGACCUAUCUAACAAUCACUUAAUUGGAGAAGUCCCCGAUUGUCAUAAUUCAUUUCCGAUCUCUCUACGAUCUUUACAUUUAAAUAAUAACAAUUUAUCUAGAAGGAUUCCUUCAUUUUUGAAAUACUGUGACCAAUUAAUUAUCCUUGAUUUAGGUGAAAAUAAAUUAUUUGAUAAAAUUCCGAAAUGGAUAGGAAGAAACCAUGAAGGUUCUUCGUCUGAGGUCAAACUUAUUAUAUGGUACUAUCCCUGAGAACAUAGUGGAUCUCACUUCUCUUCAGGUUUUGGAUCUUUCUUCCAACAAGUUCUUUGGUAGCCUACCAUCAUCUCUAGGAAAUUUCACUGCCAUGGUUGAGGUACAAAAUGACACGAGGUCAUUGAUUGAAGAUUACUAUUCUUACAUCGAGAGCAUCUUAGUCACAACAAAGGGAUCAAUGGUUGAGUACACAACCAUUCUCUGGCUGGUGACAUGCAUAGACUUGUCAAAUAAUCAUCUCUCUGGUGAAAUCCCAAAAGAACUGACAAAGCUUCUCGGAUUGCGCUUCCUAAACUUAUCCGAGAAUCAUUUGACGGGAAGGAUUCCAGAAAAGAUGGGUGACAUGACACUAUUGGAAUCGCUUGACUUAUCAGUGAACAGUCUCACAGGGGUGAUACCUUCGAGCUUUUCUGCUAUGAAUUUCCUGGCCCGUUUGAAUCUGUCUUACAACAACUUAUCAGGAAAAAUACCCACUAGUGGUCAACUGUCAACCUUUGACUCAUGGACAAAUGUGGGUAACAAAGACCUUUGCGGUACGCCACUGCCAGAUUGCCCUGUUUAUCGAAUUCCACCUGACGCCAGAGUUAAAGAUGAUGAGAAGCUCGACAAAUUAUUGGAGUACACCAGUAUUGUGGUCGGAUUUGUGGCUGGCUUUUGGCUGUUUACUGGCACGCUCAUCACGAAGCAGGUCAUCAGAUUCGCUUUCUUCCGAUGGAUCGACAAGGCCAGCGAUUGGAUCUACGUUCAGUUUACAGUUAAGCUUGCGAAGCUCAAAUCCAAAUGGCAAACGAUGACAUGAACUGUGGGUAAGUGUUCAUGUUGUCCUUUGUAGUUAGUCACAUCGAAAUCUUGUGUUAGCGUGUAAUGAUGUUAUCAUAUUAUGCUGUCAUGAUUAAACAGAAAUAAGCAUCAUAGAUGGUCUAUAAUCGUUAUAUGUAUUAGUUAUAGUAUCAUAACAUCUCCAUCUAUCAUCAUUUUGCCAUCGUCUGGCCUUCGUUUAUCAAUCGAUACAUAUCUGACAACUAAAAGAUUGAUUGCAAGUGUCUCUGUCAUACUCUGUUGGUCCCUUUUUUUUUGUUGCAAAAAUCAAUUAUAUUUCUUGAGAUUAUAUACAAAGUUCAUUGUUUCAUAGAGAUUGUUUUCUCCUGUUAUUGUUGUUACAAUAAAAGAAAAUUCAACCAUGUUAUUAUGCUCUAGUGAUACAAUUAGACAAUAAAAUCGUAACCAUUGUUGUGGACAUGAUCUUGGUAUUUGGCCAAAAUUGAUGUUUUAUUCCAGUACCGAAUCUUUCUUUUCAGAGAUGAGAUUGUAUAUUUUGAUCAUUAUCAAAAUCCAUAUUACUAUGAGACUCACUCUUUAAAAAAAUCAUUAUUAACCAUUUAUAUAUCCAUUUUUUACAAAAGUAUAUUUUUUGAAAAAAAUAAAAUCCAUGUUCAACCAAACAAAUUUAUCCAUCAAGUUUUUCUAGAAGUAAAUUAUUAUUUAUAAAUACAUUUUCAAAUUCAUGUCUAUCACAGUUUAGACUGCUUAUUCCUAUCAUCGGGUGCUAAAGCUCGAGACAUUUGAUUAUAUAAUUAUCUUAAGAAAGAUAUUCUAUGUUUCUUGAAUGAUUUUUUUUGACAGAUCAACAUUUUAUGUUACGGGUGAUUGUUUCAGUAUUCUUAACGGACAUCUAAAUAUGGUCGAUUAGUGUCCGACCAAAUCAUCUCGAAUUGAGGACAUCAAAAAUUGAAUGCCAGUAACCUAAGACAUAAUUGAAUAGCAAAUAUCUAUGAAUUACUUGUCAAAUUACUUAAGAACAACAUUACAAAAAAAAUCCUUUACGGUUAUGAUUUUAUUGUUCAAAACACACAUGUCUUAGAUGUGUAUUAUAAGGUUUUAUCUAUAAGAUCGUCCUUUAAGAUAUAUGUAGAAAGAUGUUUAGAGUCUUUGAAAUCGGGUUUGAGUUGAAUUAGAUUUAUUUUAUUUUAUCUAAUUAAUUUAAUCAAUUUAUUUCUUGUAAUAUUCAUUACAAAAUAACUAUCUACUAAAUGGAGAUAGUUAUAUAUUUUAACUACAAAAGACUCAAUCCUUGAAGACUCGUUAGUUAAUAAGCUCUAUCUUUAAGAGUUGAAUAGCUCUUGUCGAAUAUAUCCUCGACUUAGUUUUAUAAUUCGUUGGUUGAUAAGCUCUAAGGGUAUUACUCCUUAAGUAACAUACUAUCUAUACCAUCUAACGUAUAUAUUUAUUACGCAUUCUAGUAUAUCUCUGGUUUAGUUUUGAUGAAGAUCAUUUACUUGAGUUAUUUUAUCAUCAUACUAAACUUGUGACAUAGGUUAUCUGAAAGGAGGAUAGCUCUAUGAGAUUGUUAAACAUAAUAUAUAAUCAAAAUCGAUGUCGAUACUUAAGAAAUGACAUGUACUCUUAUCGUCGAAGAAAAAAAUAUAUCCACACUACAUUACUAAUGAAUAAAUUGAAACUCCAUUUAUGAUAAUCGAACAAAUGUGACUCCUAUCGAUUGGUCAACAAAAUUGGAACAUUAAUAAAUCAUUCAACUAUUAGAUGAGUUGAUUUUUUCUUUCACAAUUAAACUCUUCACAUCUAAAUCUUCAUUAUUCAUCAAAUACCCAAGUCUCACGUAUUAAUCAAUCAACUCUCGUUCACGUUGACCAGUGUGCAUGCAUCAGAGUCUCCGAGAGACAUAUGUGUCUCAUUCAAAUUGACUUGCGCCGAGCCAAAUAUAAGACUUUCUUGGUCAUAUGAUAGAAGCCUGGAUGAGUGUUCAGACUUUAUGCACUCAUACACAACUUUUUCCAACCUCACGCCACAUAGAAGGUGGAAAUUAAAGGUGUGAGAUCUUUCGUGGCAAUUCACCUCUUCCAUCCCAUAUCCAAUCAUUCAAUAUCCAUGCUUUUCAAUACCGAAAUUUUUUUUGACGUGUUCAUCGGGGAACAUCAACAUUUACUUUUUUUUUUCUUUUAUAUGAAAGAAUUUUAGAUAAUUUACUUAGAAAAUAAGUCAUGAUUAACUUUUUACCAAGAGCAUUCUUUUUACCAUGAUUAACUUUCAGAAAAUUCUUCCAUCUCGAUACUAAUUUUGUGACAAAGGUGAUCUCGAAGCAAAUUUAUUCUAUAACGUUGAUAGAUGAAUCAAAAUUGACAUCAACACUUGAAAAGUGGCACGUUAAAGUCCCAACCACUCUUCUACGGUAAUUAAGCAACUGUGACUCCUCUUGACCAGUUGACAAAAUCUCUGACGCUAAUCUUUAUCAUGACUUGAUUGUUGUUUCGUAGUUAAGCUCUUGGCAUCUAAAUCUCCAGCAUUCAUCAAACACCCAACUCUCACGUGUUAAUCAAUAACUCUCAAUGACAUCAGAGUUUCCAAGAGACAGAUGUAUCUCAUUCACAUUAAUUUGCACCUUAGCAACACGAUAAGAUGCAAGACUUUGACUUGCGUCUCAGCCUUCGAUGAGUAUGGAUGAUUUCCCUCCGACCUCACACCAUAUGGAAGACAAAGAUGGAAAUCAAAGCAUCGUGACCUAUCAUUGGAAGAGUCCUCUUCCAAUAUUUCACUCCAUCCAUAUCAAACCAUUCAUCACGUCAUCAGAAAUAUCCAUACUUUCCAACGUCGAAAGUCUCCUUGACUUGUAUGUCGGGGAGCAUAAACAAUUUAUAUCCUUUUUUUAUUUUAUAUAAAAAUAUAUUUUAAAUAAUUUAUUAAAAAAAGAUCAUAAUUAGCGUUUAUCAAAGAGUAUUCUUUUUUCUGAAUUUACUAAAGAGCUCUUUAUUUUAGGGAUUUUUACAUAGUUUUACGGUGUGAAUCUAUCCAAGUUCGAUUUAAAAAAACAAAAUAUCUAAAAUCAUCUAAAAAUAGAAAACCCAAUGAAAUUACUAUUUCAUGUUGUAUUUAUCUUCUAUAUUAAAAUUGAGUUGAAUAAGCUUUUAAGUCAUUAUACUCAUACAUGUACCAUGUUAUAUUCGAUGGCAGAAUCAACAUAGGAAAUAUAUCACUUAAGAAACCUCUAGAAUCACCUUAAAAAUAGAAAAGAAGAAUGAAAUCAACAUGUAUAUCAUAUUUGCCUGCUCUAUCGAAAGAUACAAGUAAGUUUGUGUUACACUUUGUAACGCUAGUAAAUCAACGCUGGAUGGAACCCUCACAUCAGAAUUAAGUUUCCUUUGACUUCUAACUGCGUAUUAGCCACACUAAAGUACGAGUAUGCAUGACCUUGACUGCGUAUUAGCCACUGCAUCAAUUCUACAGAUAAUGUGCGUACAAGUCAUGGGGAUUUCCGGUGGUGAUGUGCCUAUACAUACCCACAGAGACAUCCUCUGCAACCUCACACCUUCACAUUUCUUCUCUCUCGAGCGUUCCAUCAAUGGCUGCAGCUGGUAGCGGCAGUUUCCAGGACGGACGUAUUGCCUCGAAACGUCUCAUGAUGCUCGUGGCCCUGCUUCUCGUCUCCUGCUGUCUCGGCCAUGGCUUCGGCGAUGAGGAUCAUGUCGAGGUGGAGGGAAUCGGCAGCAGUUGCAUGGAAAGCGAGAGGAGAGCUCUCCUCGCCAUCAAAUCCGAUAUGUACGACCCCGACAACUGGUUUUCUUCUUGGACCGGCAAAGACUGCUGUGGGUGGAGAGGUGUGGCCUGCGACCACACCACCGGCCAUGUCACCAAGCUCGACCUCCGCUAACCCUACACAUACGAAUUGUGGGAUAUGUUUAACGAUGGGGAAACAAUAGGCGUGAGCAAGGUAAAUCCAUCUUUGCAAGAACUGAAGCAUUUGCAAUACGCCCCUGUGCCUAAAAUGAUCGCUUCACUAGUCCACUUGGAAUAUCUCAACCUAUCUUAUGCCAUGUUCGAUGGACUGAUUCCUCCUCAGCUGGGGAACCUCUCAAACCUACACUAUCUCGACCUUCAGGGAUGGCACAGUUUAUACAUCGAUAGUCUUGAUUGGCUCUCCCGUAUUCCUUCUCUGAAAUAUCUUGACAUGAGUUAUGUCAACCUCUCCGAGGCAACCAAUUGGUUCUACAUAAUUAAUUCAAUCCCCACACUUGAAGUGCUACAUUUGUUUUAUGUAUACCUGCCAUAUGUUCCAUCUCCUUUGCCCCCUUUUAAUCUGACAACCAUCGCUACUUUGGAUUUGUCUUGGAAUUCCAACAUCCCGUCUGCCAUGCUAAGAUGGCUUUCUAACGCCACCAGCCUCGAGUACCUCCUUCUUUCUGGCUGUCGGAGUCUCACUAUCGAGUCGGUGCAAGUUGCUCUAGGAGCUCUCAGUAAUCUGAAGGAGUUGGAUUUGUCGUACAACUCCCUUGAAGGAACAAUUCUUGGAAUUCUGAACAAUGUCAGUAGCAAGGGCCUGAAGCACUUGGAUUUGAGCUUCAAUCAAUUAUCUGGAGAUAUUCCUCCAGGGAGCCUUAGAGACCUGGAGUACCUUGACUUAUCAUGGAAUUCUAUUGUCACUCUUCAUAUCUUAGCUUCUCUGGGGAAUCUCACAAACUUGCGACAUUUAGACUUGUGGGGCAAUUCAAUCAGUGGAGAAAUUCCACCAACCGUAGGAAAAUUUGUCCGAUUGGAGUACCUAGAUUUGUCCUAUACUGGCAUCAACGGAAAAAUACCAGAGAGCAUCGGCAACCUCACCAACUUGAUAAUCUUAGAUUUAUCAUACAACAAUAUCGUCGGAAGUAUUCCAGAGACUUUUGGUGCUCUCAUCCGUAUGAAGCUAUUAUAUCUCGAUGACAAUCAAAUUUCUGGAGAAAUACCAGCAACCAUUGGGGGUCUCCAAAACCUGCUUGAGUUGAUUUUAAAAGGCAACUCAUUUACUGGACAAAUACCUAAUACGAUUGGCAGACUCCAUAGUUUGAAGUGCUUGGACAUAUCAAAUAAUAAUUUAUCAGGUUUGCUACCAAAAACAAUGGGUGGUCUGUGCAACUUGACCAAGAUAGAUUUGUCUCAGAAUAAUAUUGGUGGGGAGCUAACCAAUCUAUUUGAUGGUUUAUCUGCCUGCACAUAAUGGACAUCUUUACUAUCCUUAUAUAUACAGCGCAAUCAUUUAUACGGUACUAUUCCUUUAAGUAUGGGUCGAAUAUCUCAAUUACGAGAUCUAUACCUCUCCUCAAACUCUCUAGUAGGUAACAUCACCGAAGCACAUUUUUCUAAUCUCACAAACUUAUAUGGAUUCAGAAUAGCUUUCAACUCCUUGAAUGUGAUGCUACCAAAUGAUUGGCGCCCCCCUUUUAGUGCUUUCACUAUCGAUAUGAGCUUUUGUCAUAUAGGAGCAAAAUUUCCUGAUUGGAUUCAGACUCAACAGCGAUUGCAAGGGCUUUAUCUAUCUGGAGUUGGGGUCUCAGGUAGCCUUCCUGUUUGGUUUUUAGAUUUCUCAAAAGACAUGAAAGAACUUAACUUGAGAUCUAAUCAUUUGAUGGGUUCAUUACCUUCAUUAGACUUUACGGAAGCUACAAACCUCAUUUUAUUAUCAUUGUCUCAUAAUCAUAUCAAUGAUAGUCUGCCUCCCUUCUUUUGCAAUAUGCAUUUACUUGAAAUCCUUCUCCUCUCCAAUAAUCACUUAAUUGGAGAAGUUCCAGACUAUCGUAACUCAUUCCCACGCCUUCUGAUAUCUUUACAUUUAAAUAACAACAACCUGUCUGGAACGAUUCCUUCGUUUUUGAAACAUUGUGGCCAAUUACUUACCCUUGACUUAGGUGAAAAUAAAUUAUUUGAUAAAAUUCCGACAUUGAUAGGAAGAUAUCUCUCAUCAUUAAAGUUUCUUAGUCUGAGGUCAAACUUAUUAUACGGUACUAUCCCUGAGAACAUAGUGGAUCUCACUUCUCUUCAGGUAUUGGAUCUUUCUUCCAACAAUCUAACCGGUAGUCUACCAUCAUCUCUAGCAAAUUUCAGCGCCAUGGUUGAGAUACAUACACGGUCAUUUAAUGAAGGUAAUUAUUCUAAUAGCGAGAGCAUCGUAGUAACAACAAAAGGGUCAAUGGUUGAUUACACAACCAUUCUCUGGCUCGUGACAUCUAUAGAUCUAUCAAAUAAUCAUUUCUCUGGCGAAAUCCCUAAAGAGCUGCCGACACUUCUCGGACUGCGCUUCCUAAACUUAUCCAACNNNNNNNNNNNNNNNNNNNNNNNNNNNNNNNNNNNNNNNNNNNNNNNNNNNNNNNNNNNNNNNNNNNNNNNNNNNNNNNNNNNNNNNNNNNNNNNNNNNNNNNNNNNNNNNNNNNNNNNNNNNNNNNNNNNNNNNNNNNNNNNNNNNNNNNNNNNNNNNNNNNNNNNNNNNNNNNNNNNNNNNNNNNNNNNNNNNNNNNNNNNNNNNNNNNNNNNNNNNNNNNNNNNNNNNNNNNNNNNNNNNNNNNNNNNNNNNNNNNNNNNNNNNNNNNNNNNNNNNNNNNNNNNNNNNNNNNNNNNNNNNNNNNNNNNNNNNNNNNNNNNNNNNNNNNNNNNNNNNNNNNNNNNNNNNNNNNNNNNNNNNNNNNNNNNNNNNNNNNNNNNNNNNNNNNNNNNNNNNNNNNNNNNNNNNNNNNNNNNNNNNNNNNNNNNNNNNNNNNNNNNNNNNNNNNNNNNNNNNNNNNNNNNNNNNNNNNNNNNNNNNNNNNNNNNNNNNNNNNNNNNNNNNNNNNNNNNNNNNNNNNNNNNNNNNNNNNNNNNNNNNNNNNNNNNNNNNNNNNNNNNNNNNNNNNNNNNNNNNNNNNNNNNNNNNNNNNNNNNNNNNNNNNNNNNNNNNNNNNNNNNNNNNNNNNNNNNNNNNNNNNNNNNNNNNNNNNNNNNNNNNNNNNNNNNNNNNNNNNNNNNNNNNNNNNNNNNNNNNNNNNNNNNNNNNNNNNNNNNNNNUUGUAUUAGUUCUAGUAUCAUAACAUCUCCAUCUAUCAUCACUUUGCUAUCGCCCGGCCUUCGCUUUCGGAUUGAUACAUACAUAUCUGACAACUAAAAAGAUUAAUUGCAACAGUGUAUGUCAUACCCUGUUUGUUAACGAAAUAGUUAAUCUACUUAUAUUUAAUCAAUGUGACGAAUCUUUCUUUUCUGAGAUGAGACUAUAUAUUUUGAUCCUCCUCAAAAUUCAUAUAGUUAUAAUACUCACUCUUAAUUUUCUACCAGAGUACAUAUGUUUUUUUCUGCAAAAAUAAAAUCCAUGUCCAUCAAUUUUUUUCUUCUAAAAGUGAAUUAUUAUUAAUAAAUAAGUUUUAUAAAUUCAUAUCAAUCCCACUCGAGACUGCUUAUUCCUAUCAGUCAGGUGCUAAAAGCUCGAGACCUUUUGAUUAUACAAUUAUCUUAAAGAGAGAUAUCUAUGUUUCUUGAAUGAGUUUUUUUCGUUAAUCAAUAUUCUAUGUUGUGUGUGUUUGUUUCAGUAUUUAUAACCUGAGAAUAUAUGUAUGUUUUUUGUUCCUUUUUCUUGGAAAUCAUAUUUUGCAGGACUCGCAGAACUUUGAUUCGGGUGUGACCUGAAUGCUCUGCAUAAGCUCUCGAUUAGCUGCUAUUUUGGAGUUUCUAUAAUAAAAGCAGAUGAUGCAGGAGUCAAACUAUAAGAAGAUGAUGAUGGAGAUAUGCUUGAAACAAUAAUAUUAGAUGUUACUAGCGUUGUCGUGGGAUUCAUACUUGUUUCUGAAGUUUCUAUCGGCGUAGUGAUCAUGAGACAAGGCAUAAGGGAGAUAUGCAGCCGAAAGCUGAAGUCCAAAUGACAAAGAAUCAAUUGAACUGUGGCCAAGUGCUAAGAUUGUCAAUGUAUACUUUCAUGUAUUUAUGUGUUCGAGUGUUUUGAUUCACGUUUGACCAUUUGGUGUUGCCUCGCCUUGUUUAUUGAACUUGGAUAUGAUUAGUGUUCCUUUUCUUCAUCAACUACAAAUCUGGUGUCUCCACACUACAAAUUUGUUGUGUCCACGCCUACAUCUUUAUCAUGAGUUGAUUUUUUCUUUCAUGGCUAAACACUUCACAUCUUCAUGCCUACAAAAGGAUCGAUGGUUGAAUACACAACCAUUCUCUGGCUCGUGAUGUGCAUAGACUAGUAAAAUAAUCAUCUCUCCGGUGAAAUCCCAAAAGAACUGACAAAGCUUCUCGGAUUGCGCUUCCUAAACUUAUCCAACAAUCAUUUGACGGGGAGGAUUCCAGAAAAGAUUGGUGAUAUGAAACAGCUAGAAUCACUUGACUUAUCGAUGAACAGUCUCACUGGGGAGAUACCUUCAAGCUUUUCUGCUAUGAAUUUCCUGGAUUAUUUGAAUCUGUCUUACAAUAACUUGUCAGGCAAAAUACCCACGAGUGGUCAAUUGUCGACCUUUGACUCGUGGACAUAUGUGGGCAAUAAAGACCUCUGUGGUACGCCACUGCCGGAUUGCCCUGUUUAUCAAACUCCACCUGACGCACGAGUCAAACAAGAAAAAGAAGGUGAAGACGAUGAGAAGCUCCAAAAAUUAUUGGAGUACAGCAGUAUUGUGAUUGGCUUUUGGCUGUUUAUUGAAACACUCAUCGUGAAACAGGCCAUCAGAGUUGCUUUCUUCCGAUGGAUCGACGACACCAGCGACUGGAUCUAUGUUCAGUUUGCGGUAAAGCUUGCGAGGCUCAAAUCCAAAUGGCAAACGAUAACAUGAACCAUCAAGUGUUUCACCUCUUAUAUUACGACUAAAGGUCAAGUGGUCCUUUGCGGGAAGUCAUCCCCAAAUCUUGCGUUAGCAUGUAAUGUUGUUAUCAUGUUUUGUUGUCACAACAAACCAGAUGGUCUAUUUACAUUACAUGUAAUUGUUACUGCGACAUCUCCAUGCAUAUGAUCAUUUCGGUAUCAUGUUGCUUUCAAGACAAUCAAAGGUCAUUUACACAUAUCUGGCAACUAAAAGAAUUGUAUUUCAAGAGAUUAUAUGCAAAAAAAAUAUUGUUUUAUAGAAUGUCUGUCAUACAAUGUUUGCUAAUGAGAUAGUAAAUAUAGUUACAAUUUGUUGGGACUUUUUAUUUUCAGUUUUUUUUCUUUAGAAAAGAAAAAAAGAAAGAAAGAAAUUCAAGUAUAUUAUUAUGCUCAAUUAGAUAAAGAUACACAUUCAUAAAAGAGAGACAGUAUGAUUAUAAAAUAUAAUUGGGGCCAUGCUCUUGAUAUUUGGUAGUCGAUGACUUAUUCAAGUGUGAGUCUUUUUUUUUUCUCUCUUUUUUUUAGAUGAGAUUAUAUAAUUUUGAUCCUCCUUGAUGUUCAUAUUAGCACGAGACUUUUUCUUUAAAUUAUUUUUAAUUUUUUCGAAAUUCUUUUUCACAAGAAAAAGAUUUUUUUUUCGAAAUAAAAUUUGUGUUCGACAAAGCAAACUUGUCCAAAAAUUUUUAUCUGUGUAUAAACUUCUUUUGCCUAUCAUUCGGGUGCUAAAGAUUGAGAAUUCAAUAACCAAUCUCAAGAAUGGCAAUCAGAAUUCCUGCAUUGAGUUUUUUGGUCAACCAACAUUAAUUGCUUCCACAUAUUUAAUGAUCACAGCAAAAAAAUGAUUAUGUGGAAUAAUUUUCCUUCACAUCCAUAGAAUUAAGUGUGGGAACUGACUCCAAAGUGAGUCGGACUUGGGCUCCAUUCGUUCAAACUCGGGAUGUUGACCGACGUCGACUUCUCAUCGGCCCCACCUGCGUACCUCGCCGCAGCCGUUCCCCGCGUCCGCGUUCACACAGUGCACCACCGCACGCGGGGGCGUUUCACGCUCUGCAUCGCCGCCUCCCCGUGGGCCCGCACCGCCCGCCGCAGCCACAGUCGCCCGCCGCAACCGCCCACGUGCGGUCGCACCUCUCCGCUCUCAGGCAGCGAGCCCUCCACCUUCCCUUGAUCCUAUAAAUGGAGCUUUGGGGAACAACAGCGAGGGGAGCGAAGGAGAGAAGAAGAGAGGUGAAGCGAGGAAGGAGCCCAAAUCCAACCAAGUUCUUCUCCGGCGUGAAGUCCGGUCACCGUGCUCAUUGCAGCACCUGCGGAGGAGGAAGAAGAGGAAGUUGACUGGUCAACACUGAUCAACUUUGAUUGACAGGGGUAAUUUUGUAAUUUUGUUUUAUUGGCAAAUUUUGGAUUUUUUUUAAGGAAGUCGUGAUGGUGUUGUUAAACCCUCCUACGAUUUAAUUUUUUAUUUUGAUUUUUCUUCUUCUUGUGUACGUAAUAACUAUGUUUAUAUCAUAAUUUGAGUCAUGUUAAAUCGUUUAUUUUUAUUUUUCAUCCUUUAUCAUCUGAUUUUUUUCAUCGACUCGAUCUAUAUCUUAUGGCUACAUAACCUACUAAUCUUUUCUACAUAUUGUAUCAAAGCAUUCUUACCAAAGAUUAUCAGGUUGCUGGGCCUUAAUGACGAGCAUGAGAUAUAAGAUCAAAAAAUUGGAUCGAAAUUUUAAGUACUCUCUGGUAAAUAUAAAUGUUAUUUUAAUAAACUAAACUUGUGACAAAGGUAAUCGAGAAGUCCCAACAUAAUAUACAAUCAAAAUCGAUGUCGACACUUAAGAAAUGGUGUGUGAAAGUCCCAACUACUUUUGUGGUUGUAAGAAAAUAUGGAUCUAUACUAUAUAAUUAAUGAAUAAAUUGAAACUCCAUUUAUAAUAAUUGAUCAAAUGUGUCUUCGAUUGACUAGCCAAUAAAAUCUCCGAUGUUAAUGAAUCAUUCUAACUCUUAUAUCUUUAUCGUUAGUUGAAAUUUUCUAUCACGGUUAAACUCUUUAUAUCUAAAUCCCCGAUAUUCAUUUAUGAAACACCUAAGUCUCACGUGCUAAUCAAUCAUGUUUCAUGUUUUAUUUCUUAACCACGGAAUACAUUAAAGUCUCCAAGAGAUAGAUAUGUACCUUAUUGACGUUGACUUGCGUCCGACGAAAAUGCAAGACUUUCUCAGCCAUAUCGUAGACCUCGUACACUCAUAGGUAACUUCUUUCCAACCUCACACCAUAUGGAAAAGAAGUUCGAAAUGACCUUUCAUGCUAAUUCACCUCUUCCAACCAUUCAUUGCGUUGCGAGAAAUAUUUAUACUUUUCUUUCAACACUGAAAUAUAUAUAUAUAUAUAUAUAUAUAUAUAUAUAUAUAUAUAUAUAUAUAUAUAUAUAUAUAUAUAUAUAUAUAUAUAUAUAUAUAUAUAUAUAUAUAUAUAUAUAUAUAUAUAUAUAUAUANNNNNNNNNNNNNNNNNNNNNNNNNNNNNNNNNNNNNNNNNNNNNNNNNNNNNNNNNNNNNNNNNNNNNNNNNNNNNNNNNNNNNNNNNNNNNNNNNNNNNNNNNNNNNNNNNNNNNNNNNNNNNNNNNNNNNNNNNNNNNNNNNNNNNNNNNNNNNNNNNNNNNNNNNNNNNNNNNNCCGCAGGAGGACGGCAGAGGGAGAGGAACAGUUGCCGCCGGGCGAGGAGGAGGUGCGCGGAGCCACUGUCGGCGUUGGCGAUCAGGCUCCACCUGCCAUGAGAUCAUCCAAAAUCCUGCCAAUUGAAAGCAAAAUUGGAUCUUUAUGGGAGAAAACUCCACAAAAUCGAAUUUUUAGAAGAAAACCCGUCAGAAAUCACGCAAUUUAUUAACCUUAAAGGAACAAAAAAAGGAAAAAUCGAGGGCAGUAAACGAGAAAAUAUCGAGAAGAAACAGAUGGCACCAAUCCGAUUGACGUUCAUCAAAUUAAAUUUUAGUAAACUAAUUUUUAAAUACUUAAAAAUCUUGAAAAUUCAAAAUAGGAUGAUUUGAUAAUUCAAAAAUUAUAAUAGAAUUUAUUAGUGCGACAAGGUAAUUUUUGUCUGUGUUACAUAUUUUCUAGUGCAAAUUUUUAAGAUUUUUUCUUUGGGUUUUUUGGAGGUGUCCCUUCUCAUAUUUGUCAAUCCAAUCUAUUAUCACUAUACAAAGCAGAUACAUUACACCCUUUAGACCGGUCUAUUAUCACGAUACUAUGUGUUAUGGAUCGAUCUAAUCCUCAUGUAUAUAGUAUUAAUUAUACUACCUGUGAAUACAUUUACAAUAUUUUUGAUAUUUUCAUAAAAAUAAUAUGUGUACUUAACAACAUUAUAACUGAUAUAUAUGUAUAUAUAUAUAUAUAUAUAUAUAUAUAUAUAUAUUAAAAAUCCAAUAGAAACUUAAUUCUUAUAAAAAUAGAGAUCAUUAUUAUUUUAAAAAAUAAAUAACUAAACAAAAAGAUUUUUAUAUCGAUUAUGUAUUUUAUCAGUCUCGAAACUUAUGAGAGUAAAUAAUGCUGAUGACAUAACAAGAAUAUAAGUUUUUGUUGCUUUGUCGGAAGAAAGAUCGCUGUUGUUGGUGAAGGUUUAUUAGAUGGACAACGAAUCGAUGAGCAACAAGUGGUUUUCAUUGUGAGUCGUUGAAUAGUGAUGGCCACUUCAACACUGUACAGUUGAUGAUAGUCGGAUUCCCCAAAAGCCUUGGGAUUUGAGUUCGAAAGUUUUUCACUAAGCAUAUGUGAUUGUAUAAAAAAGAUUAUUUUUAUCUUUAUAAUUUAAAAAAAAAUUAUAGUAAUUUAUCCCUAAUUAUGCCAUCGCCUGUGUUUGAUCUUUCGAUCCAUCGACCAUCGCGGAAAGGCAUAAGUGAUUAGAAAAGGGAAAAGGGAUGAUUAGUAUUACCUGCUAGUUAAUGCAUACAAAUAUAAAGGAGGGAGACAUGACCAAGCACGAUGGAGAGCGAUGAGCGAUAUGGAUAAAAUGAUAAACUAAAAAAAAUACUAUAUAUUUUUUAAAAUUGAGAUAUUUGUGAGAAAAAAAUAAAAUAUUUUUUAAAAAAAAUUCAACUCAAUGAUUCCACAUCAAAGUGGAGGAUGGAAUAAACUUUUUGAUACUUAUCCUCAAGACCCAUCAUAGACUCCGUUAAUUAAACUUGUCAUACUCAAAUGUUAUUGACUUUGACUUGAAUGUCACCCCCACAAUAAACUUCUAAGUCUUCUUGACCUCAACUGCCCACGAUCAAAUCUACAUAGAACCCACGGAAAUCACGAGGUAUGGAGUUACCCGUAUAUACCCGUGGAAGCCUCACGUGAUUUUCGUGAUAUUGUCAAGUAUGCUUCUGAUUUAGCUUUCAUGCAAUUCAUUUCAUCGAAUCAUUUCAUCAUGAUACUAAUCUUAGGACAAAGGUUAUCUGGAAGGAGAUUAGCUGUGUAAUAUCUAUAAACAUGACAACCAGUCAAAAUCGAUGUAGACAUUUAGGAAAUUAGGGCCCUCUCCAAUUUACAUGAAUCAUGUUGUUGCUUUGUGAGUGGAAGUUAAGGUCCCUCUCCAACUUACAUGGAUCAUCCAUCCUCGCAUCAGAAUUAAGUGGGAGACCUUGACAUUGACUUGCAUCUUAGCGACACUAAAGUCAAAGUGUGAUUGACCUUGACUGCGUGCUAGCCACGGGAUCAAAUCUAUAGGGAAUGUGCGCAGAUGUCAUGGGGAUUUCCGGUGGUGAUGUGCCUAUACAUACCCACAGAGACAUCCUCUCCAACCUCACACCUUCACAUUUCUUCUCUCUCGAGCGUUCCAUCAAUGGCUGUAGCUGGUAGCGGCAGUUUCCAGGACGGACGUAUUGCCUCGAAGCGUCUCAUGAUGCUCGUGGCCCUGCUUCUCGUCUCCUGCUGUCUCGGCCAUGGCUUCGGCGAUGAGGAUCAUGUCGAGGUGGAGGGAAUCGGCAGCAGUUGCAUGGAAAGCGAGAGGCGAGCUCUCCUCGCCAUCAAAUCUGAUAUGUACGACCCCGACAACUGGUUUUCUUCUUGGACCGGCAAAGACUGCUGUGGGUGGAGAGGUGUGGCGUGCGACCACACCACCGGCCAUGUCACCAAGCUCGACCUCCGCUACCCCUACACAUACACAACCACAUACUUAUACACAACCGAUCUGUGGGAUGUGUUUAACGACGGGGAUACAAUAGGCGUCAGCAAGGUAAAUCCAUCUUUGCAAGAACUGAAGCAUUUGAAGUAUUUGGAUUUGAGCAUGAAUAACUUCUCCCACGCCCCUGUGCCCACAAUGAUCGCUUCACUGGUCCACUUGGAAUAUCUCAACCUAUCUAAUGCCAUGUUCGAUGGACUGAUUCCUCCUCAGCUGGGGAACCUCUCAAACCUACACUAUCUCGACCUUCAGGGAUGGCAUUAUGAUGAUUUACAUGUUGAUAAUCUCGAUUGGCUCUCCCGUAUUCCUUCUCUAAAAUAUCUUGAAAUGAGUUAUGUCAAGCUCUCCAAAGCAACCAAUUGGUUCUACAUAAUUAAUUCAAUCUCCACACUUGAAGUGCUACAUUUGAUUUAUGUAGACCUGCCAUAUGUUCCAUCUCCUUUGCCC
rnacentral:lncRNA from 1 species